UACAUGUGGGGCAAGCGUUGUUCGGAAUUACUGGGCAUAAAGGGUGCGUAGGUGGCUUGUUAAGUCAGGGGUGAAAGUUUUCGGCCCAACCGGAAAAUGGCCUUUGAUACUGGCGAGCUCGAGUGCGUGAGGGGUAACCGGAACGAGCAGUGUAGCGGUGAAAUGCGUAGAUAUUGCUCGGAAGGCCAACGGCGAAGGCAGGUUAACUGGUGCGCAACUGACACUGAGGCACGAAAGCGUGGGGAGCAAACAGGAUUAGAAACC
rnacentral:rRNA from 1 species